UCUACGGCCUAGGUACUGAACAUGUCUGGUCCUGUACAGAUUAGCCUAUAGGCUAAUAAUAGUCAAAUUGAGUUCAUGUUAAAUUGGUCGUGCGCCUUUAUGCCUCGUCCAGUACUACGCCAGCAGUAAAGUGUUACGAGCUCCAGUCUACGGUUGAAGCCCGACAGAAAAGAAAGGGAAAGGAUCUCCUUGACCCGCCGAUACCGGAAGGCCAGUUUCCUCAUCCAGUCCACCCCACCAUGGACGCCUGAGCCCAGGCAGAGUGUAGCACCCCCUGCUGGAGUCUGGAAGCCAUCUGCUCCAAAGUUAUAGGUACUGAAGGUAUGAAGUUUUCCCAUAAAUAUAUGCACCUUGUGGACUCAGAGCACUGGAUCGGCACUGGGGGCAGCAGUAACAAUGUGCUCCUUCAUGGCUGUCGCCACAUUUAUUCUGCCACAUCACAAUGAAAGUGUUUCCUCACAGAUCUUGGGAAUCAGAGCCCAGAAACAAAAUUCCUUUCCGAAUGAAACUGUCAUUUCUGAAGGCUGCAAAAGAAAGUGUGUGGAAAUAUCACAAUUACCUUUACUGUGUAUGUCUUUUGAAAUGAAAGGAAGGUGUAUCUUGAGACACAUUUUGAAUAAAAAGUCCCUUGUGUAUCGCAAUCCCAACACAAUGCCAGUGGAACUUUUACUAAUAAAGACUAAAGAGAUAUAUUAUUAUUUAUAAAUGUUUUUGAAUUCUACGAAAUAUGCAUGUCUUAGUUGGACUUGAAUAAAAAAAUCAAACGGCAAAAAACGCCAAAAGAGAAGCUGGAAAAAUUCCAACUCUCCAGUUUCUGGUGAGUUAACUUCUGUUCAACAUUAAUUGAUAUGAACUAGUAUUUUCUGGGGGGAAAAAAGAGAGAUUUCAGGAGAAGACUGUGAUUAUGAU